rnacentral:rRNA from 1 species
GAGUUUGAUCAUGGCUCAGAUUGAACGCUGGCGGCAGGCCUAACACAUGCAAGUCGAACGGUAACAGGAAGCAGCUUGCUGCUUUGCUGACGAGUGGCGGACGGGUGAGUAAUGUCUGGGAAACUGCCUGAUGGAGGGGGAUAACUACUGGAAACGGUGGCUAAUACCGCAUAACGUCGCAAGACCAAAGAGGGGGACCUUCGGGCCUCUUGCCAUCAGAUGUGCCCAGAUGGGAUUAGCUUGUUGGUGAGGUAACGGCUCACCAAGGCGACGAUCCCUAGCUGGUCUGAGAGGAUGACCAGCCACACUGGAACUGAGACACGGUCCAGACUCCUACGGGAGGCAGCAGUGGGGAAUAUUGCACAAUGGGCGCAAGCCUGAUGCAGCCAUGCCGCGUGUAUGAAGAAGGCCUUCGGGUUGUAAAGUACUUUCAGCGGGGAGGAAGGUGUUGUGGUUAAUAACCGCAGCAAUUGACGUUACCCGCAGAAGAAGCACCGGCUAACUCCGUGCCAGCAGCCGCGGUAAUACGGAGGGUGCAAGCGUUAAUCGGAAUUACUGGGCGUAAAGCGCACGCAGGCGGUCUGUCAAGUCGGAUGUGAAAUCCCCGGGCUCAACCUGGGAACUGCAUUCGAAACUGGCAGGCUUGAGUCUUGUAGAGGGGGGUAGAAUUCCAGGUGUAGCGGUGAAAUGCGUAGAGAUCUGGAGGAAUACCGGUGGCGAAGGCGGCCCCCUGGACAAAGACUGACGCUCAGGUGCGAAAGCGUGGGGAGCAAACAGGAUUAGAUACCCUGGUAGUCCACGCCGUAAACGAUGUCUACUUGGAGGUUGUGCCCUUGAGGCGUGGCUUCCGGAGCUAACGCGUUAAGUAGACCGCCUGGGGAGUACGGCCGCAAGGUUAAAACUCAAAUGAAUUGACGGGGGCCCGCACAAGCGGUGGAGCAUGUGGUUUAAUUCGAUGCAACGCGAAGAACCUUACCUGGUCUUGACAUCCACAGAAGAAUCCAGAGAUGGAUUUGUGCCUUCGGGAACUGUGAGACAGGUGCUGCAUGGCUGUCGUCAGCUCGUGUUGUGAAAUGUUGGGUUAAGUCCCGCAACGAGCGCAACCCUUAUCCUUUGUUGCCAGCGGUUAGGCCGGGAACUCAAAGGAGACUGCCAGUGAUAAACUGGAGGAAGGUGGGGAUGACGUCAAGUCAUCAUGGCCCUUACGACCAGGGCUACACACGUGCUACAAUGGCGCAUACAAAGAGAAGCGACCUCGCGAGAGCAAGCGGACCUCAUAAAGUGCGUCGUAGUCCGGAUUGGAGUCUGCAACUCGACUCCAUGAAGUCGGAAUCGCUAGUAAUCGUGGAUCAGAAUGCCACGGUGAAUACGUUCCCGGGCCUUGUACACACCGCCCGUCACACCAUGGGAGUGGGUUGCAAAAGAAGUAGGUAGCUUAACCUUCGGGAGGGCGCUUACCACUUUGUGAUUCAUGACUGGGGUGAAGUCGUAACAAGGUAACCGUAGGGGAACCUGCGGUUGGAUCACCUCCUUACCUUAAAGAA